GGCGGGUGUCGCUCGUUGGGCCACUGCUGGUCGCCGGUGGUGGCCGCGGCCCCGCUCUCCCCUGAGGGGGCCGUGCCGCCUCUGGAGGUGCGGGCCCUACUGGCGGCUGGAGCCCGGCGGAUGCGUCGCCGUGAGCUCAUCAGUGAAAAUACCAAGCCGUACUAUUUUUGGUAUCGAUCUCUUCUGAAGUCCACCAGAAAUCCUGCUAUUUAGUGGUGAAAGCAAAUAUUUCUAGGAUCUGUUUCAAACUGCUUUUCACUGACAGCCAUUCCCACUAGGUAUUCUGUUGGAAAAGCAAAGGUUUCAAGGAGGAUUUAGAGAAGAGAAGGGAUGGAGUGGGAGCAGAUGACGGACACUAACAGAGUGCAGCAUUACAGGAAAGUACCCUGCAGUCCUCCCAUUCAUCCCAGCUGCUCCCAGGAACUCUAAAGAGAGUUCAUCCUUCCGAACAACUGGCACGACACAUCAUCAGCAGCGUGCAAGUAUAGAUUAUUAGGACCUUAAAUAACUUUCACGUUGCAUUCAGUGAUCUGAAUUUUCAUGCUGCAAAUGUAAAUGCCAUGUUCAAUUUUAUUUUCUGCUUCUGUAAUGCAAACAUGAAUAUUGCCAUUUUCUGUAAACCCAAAAAGAUCUGGCAAGACAACACUGCUCCUGGGCUUGACAGUGAUGGCAGUGUUUCAGCUUCCAUUAAACAAAUGGGAGAAGACUUUAAAAAUUAAACACAAAGUUGAAUAUUUCAUAGUGACUUUGCUAAAUGGGACUGGUCUGCCUCUUCCACAGAGCUGUACAGAAAGUGACCUCUCGUGGCACGAGGAGAUGUGCUGUGUCCGAGCUGUCCGUCUGCAGGUGUGCAGGGAGACUCCUGCACCGCAGCGCUUCUCCCAAGGCUUUUCUGAGCUGCCUGAGCCAGGGGAGUGCAGCCCCGGAGACCUGAAACCCUGACCUCGGAAAGGAGCAGCAUCAUAAAAAGACUGGAGAAACGCUGCUGCUCCUCAGAACCUGGCCUUGGUUUUGUGCAACUGCAAGGAGACCUUCAGAUAUCCUCCCCUUCCCUCCCUAGAAUUUGAGAAGAUGGGUCUUACCUAUGCAUGGGUUUAGAUACACGCUGAGAAAAUUAACAAAUGACUAGGGGUUUUGUUCCAUUUCCAUGAAAAAAAAAAAAGAUUCCCACAGUUUUCAGGUGCCGCUUCUUAAUUUCUUCCCACCACUGGAGGACGUUAACUGUUUGAUUCACAGAUCCCUGAUGUAUUUUGCUCUGUAAUUUGCUCUUUGGGCUGUCUGAAAGGUGGAGGGGGGGCUGCGGACUGCAGGCGUGCAAGGGCUGGCAGCAUGUGAUGUGCUCUACCUGGCACUGGGGAAGACAAAUAAUUGCAACAGGAAGAGUCGGAGCUGCAGAUGCACCUGUACGGUCAGGACGCCAAGUGAAGGAUGUGUCAGCGGUUGAUGAGACCUGGAAACAGAGAUGGUGCUUGUUCAAGAAAGCGAAGGGGAUCCCAGUGAGGAAUCAGGUGAUGCUAUUCAGCCCGUGAUCCCUCCUGGGCUGCUCCGCAACACGGAGGACAGUGGGUGAACUGAGGCACCUCUGCUUUGUAAAGCUAAAUAGCCAUAGUAAAGCAAUCACUGUGCCGUAUAUCCCAUUUUUACUUUCUCUGUGGACUGCACAAGCUCCACAACAAAAUA